rnacentral:lncRNA from 1 species
UAUAAUAUUUUUGAAAAAUUAAUUAAACAUCUUCUAUACUUUAUGAUAGUACAUAAAACUGAAUAAAUUAUUUGAUUUUGUCAUAUAAAGUAAAUUUGUUAAUUUUUGAAUUACGCAUCAAGAAGAAGGUUCGUUUCUUAUGAGUUAUUUCUUUCAUAUAUAUAUUACAUUAAUUAAAUAAAUGUUGUUUAGUCUUGUCCGAUCUGUUUGGUCAGGUUUCAGAGUUCGAAUGUUUUUUUGGUAAAUUUGGGUUAGGCAUUCUUUUGUUAUGUUAUGACCGGUUUAAGUUCUAUAACCGAAGGUGUAUAUGAUUGUUGGCUAACCAGUUUUAGUAAUAUACUAUAUUUCUAUGAAAAAAAAGAAGAUUUUCUCAAAGUUGAUUAGUAAUAAGGUUAACAUAUUUAUUUUGCUUAUUCUGGUUCAUACGUGUAUCUAGCGGG